CUAAGUUUGGGGUAAAACCCCAUAAGUUUCAAAAGCCAAGGUGAGUGCGAAAAGAAAAAGAAUCAUCGAGAAAAAAAAAGAGAAAAGAAAAUAAACUCGAGGGUUCAAAAGAAGCACUGGCCAAAGAAAAGCACUCGAUUGAAAAACAAGAAUAACAAAGAAAAACCCGACCUGUAAAAUAAAUAAAUAAUAAUAGAGCAAAAGAAAUAAAAUGAACAAACACAGUGAAAAUAAUA
rnacentral:lncRNA from 1 species